rnacentral:rRNA from 2 species
CGUCCUAUUAGCUAGUUGGUGAGGUAAUGGCUAGGUAGGGCUUGCGAUGGGUAAGAGUACUUAGUGGAAGGUCCCCCACACUGGCACUGAGAUACGGGCCAGACUCCUACGGGAGGCAGCAGUAGGGAAUAUUGGUCAAUGGGCGCAAGCCUGAACCAGCCAUGCCGCGUGCAGGAUGAAGGCUCUCUGAGUUGUAAACUGCUUUUGUACAGGAGCAAAAAAAUCCCUGCGGGGGUUCUUGAGAGUACUGUAAGAAUAAGCACCGGCUAAUUCCGUGCCAGCAGCCGCGGUAAUACGGGAGGUGCAAGCGUUAUCCGGUUUUAUUGGGUUUAAAGGGUGCGUAGGCGGCUUAUUAAGUCAGUUGUGAAAUCCUAGUGCUUAACGCUAGAACUGCGAUUGAUACUAUU